rnacentral:rRNA from 1 species
UACGAAGGGGGCUAGCGUUGUUCGGAAUCACUGGGCGUAAAGCGUAUGUAGGCGGAUUGUUAAGUCAGGGGUGAAAUCCCGAGGCUCAACCUCGGAACUGCCUUUGAUACUGGCUAUCUUGAGUCCGGGAGAGGUGAGUGGAACUCCUAGUGUAGAGGUGAAAUUCGUAGAGAUCGGCAGGAACACCGGUGGCGAAAGCGGCUUACUGGGUCUCUUCUGACGCUGAGGUACGAAAGCUAGGGUAGCGAACGGG